rnacentral:lncRNA from 1 species
AAAAAAUGAUAGAGUGAGAAGCAAUUAAGAGAGUAUAUGACAAGCAAAAGUGUUAAUCUUAUUCAAAAAGAACCUCCUCAGAGGAUACAAUAAGGAUUUCAGGAGAAAUCUCCUGUCUAGCUCAAGCUAGCCAAAGCAGUAAUGCUUUCUUAGAGUAUAAAAUAAGAAUAUAGAUAAUACCCUCUAUUGUGACUAUCCCUCUAUUUAUCUAUUCCUUGAUCCCAAGCAGCAAUCAUUCCCUAUUGAUUGUCAUGACUAUCCCUCUAUUUAUCUAUUCCUUGAUCCCAAGCAGCAAUCAUUCCCUAUUGAUUGUCAUUCGUGAUUCCCACUAACUGAAUUAUCCCGUUUUGUCUCUAUUUCCAGCUGUCCCGAUUCUCCCUUUUACCUGGACUGGUCUCGUGUGUCUCUCUUCCUUUGCCUAUAGUAGACCCUCAAAGGUUUUGGAUUGCUAGUGAACCUCUUUUGCAGCCUUUGGUGCAGCAUCAAGGAGAGCCUUAUGGGUGGCCAACAGCUGCAAGAUCUUUUUGUCUUUUCAUUUUCUUUGAGCGGUAAAUGUUACAGUAUUAACACAUUUUCUUCCUCUACCUUCUCCUAUUUUGAACCCAUUCUCUGUGAGUAUCACCUG